GAACGCUGGCGGCGUGCUUAACACAUGCAAGUCGAACGGAAAGGCCCUGCUUUUGUGGGGUGCUCGAGUGGCGAACGGGUGAGUAACACGUGAGUAACCUUCCCUUGACUUUGGGAUAACUUCAGGAAACUGGGGCUAAUACCGGAUAGGAGCUCCUGCUGCAUGGUGGGGGUUGGAAAGUUUCGGCGGUUGGGGAUGGACUCGCGGCUUAUCAGCUUGUUGGUGGGGUAGUGGCUUACCAAGGCUUUGACGGGUAGCCGGCCUGAGAGGGUGACCGGCCACAUUGGGACUGAGAUACGGCCCAGACUCCUACGGGAGGCAGCAGUGGGGAAUAUUGCACAAUGGGCGGAAGCCUGAUGCAGCAACGCCGCGUGCGGGAUGACGGCCUUCGGGUUGUAAACCGCUUUCGCCUGUGACGAAGCGUGAGUGACGGUAAUGGGUAAAGAAGCACCGGCUAACUACGUG
rnacentral:rRNA from 1 species